rnacentral:rRNA from 1 species
ACGGGAGACACACGGCGGGUGCUAACGUCCGUCGUGAAGAGGGAAACAACCCAGACCGCCAGCUAAGGUCCCAAAGUCAUGGUUAAGUGGGAAACGAUGUGGGAAGGCCCAGACAGCCAGGAUGUUGGCUUAGAAGCAGCCAUCAUUUAAAGAAAGCGUAAUAGCUCACUGGUCGAGUCGGCCUGCGCGGAAGAUGUAACGGGGCUAAACCAUGCACCGAAGCUGCGGCAGCGACGCUUAUGCGUUGUUGGGUAGGGGAGCGUUCUGUAAGCCUGUGAAGGUGUACUGUGAGGUAUGCUGGAGGUAUCAGAAGUGCGAAUGCUGACAUAAGUAACGAUAAAGCGGGUGAAAAGCCCGCUCGCCGGAAGACCAAGGGUUCCUGUCCAACGUUAAUCGGGGCAGGGUGAGUCGACCCCUAAGGCGAGGCCGAAAGGCGUAGUCGAUGGGAAACAGGUUAAUAUUCCUGUACUUGGUGUUACUGCGAAGGGGGGACGGAGAAGGCUAUGUUGGCCGGGCGACGGUUGUCCCGGUUUAAGCGUGUAGGCUGGU